CAUCCACUAAGUAUUUAUUAAGUACCUAUUCUGUGCUAGGUAUCAGGUGCUGGGGCUAUAGCAGUAAGGAAAGUAAGUGGACAAAAGGAUUCCACACCUGUCACAGGCGCUGCCCCACUCCCUGAGUCAGGUGAGAUGAGCUCCGGAAGGCAGGUGGGUAAUGGAUGAUGCUCACCUAGUGUUCCUUGGGCCAUGAAGAUCAAAUAUUUCAGCCCCAUAGGAUGUGUAAGCUUGAUUUCUGGUCAUCUCUCCUUAAGGAAUCAUGGACCAUUCAUUAUUUUGUUUAAAAGGACACAUAAGAACGUACAUGUCUCAAUAGAGUUACUGGUCACAGGACUGAACUGUGGUCAUGAAAGCCAAGCAACUUACUUUCUGGCCUCCAUAUUGCUUUGUAGGAGAAAUGAUACUGACAAUGAUGUCACACGAGGAGGGAAGCCAGGCACGAAUCUGGUGGAGGUGCGGUCAGUUGUGACCAGCUUUGCAAAGGGAGCGGUGGGCGAGGCUGUGGUCUCUCCCAGGUGACCUCCAUCGCCAUGCAGAGCUGCUCUCACUUCUCCUCGGGAAAGGCCAGCGUCAGGUUCCUGCUCCAUCUAUACUAGCCACCUCCUGGA
rnacentral:lncRNA from 10 species